CACAGCACCGGGCUCUUUUGAACACACAAAACCAACGCUCUUAGGUGGAGACGGAGGAGUUUUGGACUUAGCCUUUAGCACUGGACACUCGGCUAUCAGGUGACCUGGGCGAUGACAAUAGAAACAAACCCUCUCAGUCCUACUAAGAGACGGGGCAGAGGAACCUGUGGAACCACGAGGGGUCCUGGACACCUGUGACAUACCAGACCUGGUCUCUGGAUUAGGGACAGAGACGCCACCACCUCCUGUGCCUUCCCUGUCAGCCUACACUGGAGCAGCAAAGGCCAGACCUCCUUAGGCCAGCGAAGAGCCCCUGCUACUCUCUCAAAAGCGGAGAAGUAGGAAUCCACUUCUGCUUCUCUGAAUGGAGGAACGACAGCUAUGUUUCUCCCAACAUCAAAAG
ensembl:lncRNA